CCUACGGGUGGCAGCAGUGGGGAAUAUUGCACAAUGGGCGAAAGCCUGAUGCAGCAACGCCGCGUGAAGGAAGAAGGUCUUCGGAUCGUAAACUUCUGUCCUUGGGGAAGAUAAUGACGGUACCCUUGGAGGAAGCCCCGGCUAACUACGUGCCAGCAGCCGCGGUAAUACGUAGGGGGCAAGCGUUAUCCGGAAUUAUUGGGUUUAAAGGGUGCGCAGGCGGAUUUUUAAGUCAGCGGUCAAAUCGUGGGGCUCAACCCCAUCCAGCCGUUGAAACUGGGGAUCUAGAGUGUGCGAGAGGUAUGCGGAAUGCGUGGUGUAGCGGUGAAAUGCAUAGAUAUCACGCAGAACCCCGAUUGCGAAGGCAGCAUACCGGUGCACAACUGACGCUCAGGCACGAAAGCGUGGGUAUCGAACAGGAUUAGAUACCCGGGUAGUC
rnacentral:rRNA from 1 species